AGGCCACUUGGAGGACUUCUCUUCUGCUCCUCUCUGGAACAGAGUGCGAUAGGAACCUAAGGCCUUCAGCAGGGUCACAGACUGCCAGUGUAAAUUAAAACAACCUGAACUCAGCGUAUGGUAGAAGAAGCACAUAAAUGUGCACCAGGAGUGGAGCAGUGAAAGCGAGUCCUUUAAGCCACUUUUAUAUUCCAUCCACUAACCUGCACUUUCUCCAGUCUGGGAGUACUUGAGGAGUCCCACCAUGUCUACUCCUGUUUGCUCAAAAGGAUCAUCUGAAUGGAAAGGGCACUAAUGGAGCUUUGACACUACUUUGGAAGACACUAAUGUGAGUCAGGAGGCACAUAAGUUGGCUACUUCUCUGUAUAUUGCCAGCCAUAAAAGAAAAUAUUGUGUGAAUUUAAUGUUCCUGAAAAAUAAGGGCGUGAUGGCACUUGCCUGAGCCAGCCAUAAAGCAGACUGAAAUUGAACAAGCCCAUCAUUUAAAGCUCUGCCAAUGCACCAUGAUUCUGACCUGCAGGACCCUGCUAUUGUCCUGGACCUCUUGAGUGAAAAUCUUCUAUCGUGCCAAAAUAGUGUGGUGAUUUUGUGAAGCACGUAAAUGGAGACCAGGCUGAGACAACUAAGCUCAUAUUCAUGCUUGUGGCCUCAUCAGAAUUUGAAUCUUGGUCUCCAGAGGUCCUCUGGCUUCCUUAAAUUUCAUUUUUGUGAAUAAUGAAGAUAGUUUUCAGUUUUACAAGCAGAGAAAUGUCUUAAACCAAUAAACAUUUUAUAUCUGUGUCAAAAGAUGCUUAAAAACAGCCAACCCAUGUUUUUUU